rnacentral:rRNA from 1 species
GAUGAACGCUAGCGGAAGGCAUAAUACAUGCAAGUCGAACGGAUGUAGCAAUACAUUAGUGGCGCACGGGUGCGUAACGCGUAUGCAACCUACCUUCAUCAGGGGGAUAACUACUCGAAAGGGUGGCUAACACCGCAUAAUACUACUGAAUGGCAUCAUUUGGUAUUUAAAUCUGAGGAGGAUGAAGAUGGGCAUGCGUCUGAUUAGCUAGUUGGUGUGGUAACGGCGCACCAAGGCGACGAUCAGUAGGGGAACUGAGAGGUUGGUCCCCCACACUGUCACUGAGAUACGGGCCAGACUCCUACGGGAGGCAGCAGUAGGGAAUAUUGGUCAAUGGUGGGAACACUGAACCAGCCAUUCCGCGUGCAGGAAGAAGUGUCUCUGACUUGUAAACUGCUUUAGCAAGGGAAGAAAAAGCUCAUGCGUGAGAAAUUGACGGUACCUUGAGAAUAAGCACCGGCUAACUACGUGCCAGCCGCCGCAGUAA